rnacentral:misc_RNA from 1 species
GAUGAAGUACGUAGCGAAAUGCGAUACUUGGUGUGAAUUGCAGAAUCCCGUGAACCAUCGAGUCUUUGAACGCAAGUUGCGCCCGAAGCCAUUAGGCCGAGGGCACGCCUGCCUGGGCGUCACACGUCGUUGCCCCCCCAUCUACUCCUUCGGGAUUGCGGGGGGCGGAUGAUGGCCUCCCGUGCGCCUCGUCGCGCGGUUGGCAUAAAUGCCAAGUCCUCGGCGACGCACGCCACGACAAUCGGUGGUUGCGAAACCUCGGUUGCCCGUCGUGUGCGGUCGUCGCGCAUCGAGGGCUCGAAAAAAUUGCCGGGCUCCGGCUCGGCUUUCAACGCGACCCCAGGUCAGGCGGGGUUACCCGCUGAAUUUAAGCAUAUCAAUAAGCGGAGGA